rnacentral:misc_RNA from 1 species
AACGCAUCUUGCACCCUUUGGUAUUCCGAAGGGUAUGCCUGUUUGAGUGUCAUUUAAUUUCUCAACCAUUAGACUUUGUUGUCUCUUGGCUUGGAUGUGGGGGUUUGCGGGCUUCACUUUGAGGUCGGCUCCUCUUAAAUGCAUUAGUGGAAAGUCUAUUCACUAAUUGGCGUGAUAGCUCUAUCGUCGUCAUGAAUAGGUGUCUGCUUCUAACUGUCUUUUGAUCGGGACAAUCUUCCUUUUCAUUUGACCUCAAAUCAGGUAGGACUACCCGCUGAACUUAA